GUAUGACCUUGUUACAAGAAGGUUUCCUAUGCCUAGUCAGUCAGUUGACUUCCUGUUGCCUGCAAAAUGUAGCACCCUUUCAAGCUCCAGCACUACAUCUGCCUCAAUGCUACCAUGCACCCUGUCAUGAUGAUAAUGGACUGAACCUCUGAAACUAUAAGCAAAAGCGGCUGUGGGACCAACCUGGCAGGAAAGAAAAACCAGCAACAAGUGUGACCUCAUCAAAAGACCCCACCCAGCUAAGCAUCCAUCUUGUGAAAAGGAUUUAAAGGAGACCUUAAGCAGUGAAAGAAACCAUAAAUAACAGAAAGCUGAUACAAAUGUAACUGAAUGAGGGGUUCCAGCCCUAGCAAGCAGCAGAACUUGGGAACUAUAGCCACUUGGUUCUGACUUUAGAGUCAAGGAUACAAGAAAGGGGCUGUGGAACCUCCCUCUAUGGCUAAGGAAGGGGCUAAGGAAAAAGUUGCUGAGGCAAGACAUAUAUCAGGGAUGUCCUUCCAUGGAGGUCCAGAGAAGCCAUUAUAUGAAGCUAUAAGGGUAAAGCCUGGAUUUCUUUGGAGACCCCAAGAUUUUGGAGAUGCCAGAGUCAUGAGAUACCUGCUGAUAAAAGCUGCAGACUGGGUAUGGAAACAGCCCAUGAGAGAGAAGUGUGGUGUAGUCAACAAAACUAAAAGGAGUUGGAGAUCUGAAGAGCUCUUUAAUAUCCGGCUGGAGAUGCAGUGUUUGGAGUUUGCCCAGCUGGUUUUUAGUCUUGCUUUGGUCCAGUAUUUCCUCACUAUGCUCCCUUUCCUCCUUUUUGGAAUGGCAAUGUUUAUUCUGUGCCAACAUAUGUUUGAAGUAUGUGAUCUGCUUUUUGAUUUUGAUUUUACAGGGGGUUAUAUUUAAAGAGAUUGCCAUGCAUCUCAGAAGAGGAUUAAGAUUUUUCAACAGUGUUGAAACUGUGAUAGACUAUGGGGAAUUUUGAAGUUGGACUGAGUGUAUUUUUGCAUUAUGAUAUAGCUACAAGCCUAUGGGGGUCAGGGAGUGGAAUGUGGUGGUUUGAAUAAGAUUACCCCACCACCCAGGCUCAUAUAUUUGAAUGCUUAGUCACCAGGGAGUGGAAUUCUUUGAUAGUAUUAGAAGGAUUAGGAGGUGUAGCCUUGUUAGAGAAAGUGUGUCACUGGAGAUAGCUUUGAGGUUUCAAAAGCCCAUGCCAAGCCUAGGUUCUCUCUCUCUCCCUCCCUCCCUCCCUCUCUCUCUCUCUUUCUGCCUAUAGUUCAAGAUGUAGCUCUCAACUAAUUCCACAGCACUAUGCCUGCUUACCUCCAUGCUCUCUGCCAUGAUAAUGGACUAACCCUCUGAAACUAGAAGUAAGCCCUCAUUUAAAAGCUUUCUUUUACCAAAAAAUAAAUAAAAAAUAAUAAAUAAAUGGCUUGUUCAUGGUGUCUCCUCACAGCAAUAGAACAGUGACUAAGACAGUGUCCUAGACUCACUAACAAAAAGCAUCUUAGGAAAGAAGGGUUUGUUUGACUUACAAUUCCAAAUUAUGGUCCUUUAUUUCAGGUUUGUCAAGGCAGUGGCUUAAAAAAUCCCAUCCAUAGGCAAGAACAGAGUGAGAAUAGAUGACGGAUCCUUGCUUGUUCUCUCAGCUAUCUUUCUUCUCGUACGUUGUUCAGAACCCCAUGCCUAGGGAAUGAUGCCAAGCACAACCUGGUCUUCCUAUGUCAAUUAACAAGCAAGACAAUUUCCCUCAGAUAUGCCCACGGGCCAACC
ensembl:lncRNA